UUCAAUUAUUGGCACACUCGCACGAAAGUCGAGGUCGCAAAGCCACCGGCCUAAGCCUCCCCCCUGGAGGCACGGCAGCGGGGUUGCCUUC
rnacentral:ncRNA from 1 species